AUUGGCGUGAUUUCCCAUCUCCAUCGUCAUCUGCCGCUCCGCAUAGCUUCGAGCUCCAAGCCUGCGACGCCAUGAUCACUUGGGAUCGAGAGUUCUUCGAGGAAGUCGACGAGAAGCUCCCGGUUGAGCACAAUUCCCUCCCCACCGCUCGCGUUAACAGAGCAGAAGCAGAGUCUGCAAGAACCCAACAAAACCCUCACAACCACAAUCACAAGAGCAGCCAUGGAUGAUUUCUCCUACCUUUCCGACACCGACGAUUACCCGGUGAGUUGACUUCGCAGUGGAAGAUCUCAUUUCCCAGACCAAGGACCUCUUCGUCCUCGAGCCAAAUCGCUGCCAUCAACUGCUCCUCGGAGGACGCAAUUGCCCCGCUGCCAAAGCGGAAUCCGGACGAGAAAUCGUGUUAGAAGUCCACCACGAAGUUACGAUCCAGACUCUUCGCCGAUGGAUUAUUUCGAUUCGUGGAGGAGGACGAGGUACUGUCGGAUUUGGAGGCUUUCUCCCCUAAAGAGCAGAAGAAACGUUGCUGAAGUAGGCAACGAAGGAGCGGAGAAGAUCGCCAGGAUGGCGAAGCAAAUGGAGGGAUGUGCUCUUACAUAUCAGUAAACUUCAUUACUGAAUAGUAGUGAUUACAAUCUGGGCCAUAUGUUUUGGUUUCAAUAUAAGGAGCAACUUUUCACAUAACCACGAUUCGGAAACGAAAAUCAAACCAUAGAUGCCGGCAAACUGCUUGGGUACAGCCUAACUAGAUCGAUUUCAAAUUUCUCGUCGAAGUCUUUAAAUGUCAUUGAUUCUAUGCUUUGAAAGAGGGAAUCAGUAGUUUGGCAAAACCACUGCUAGAUCAGAUGAUCUGGUUGAAAUUAAGGUUGAGCUGUGUGGAACUUUAAUGCCUCUCUCAAGUCUCAACUAGGUAGAGUGGUCUUCUUAGGCUCGAAAUCUGGUGACUUCACUCAGGCUGAUGGUUGGAGCUUAACUAGGGAGAAGAAGGCUGAGUUAACUUGGCAUAGGCUAAUUUGGUUUAAUCCAAAUGUGCCGACAUUUUGCUUUGUAUCUUGGCUUGCUAUCCUUACCAAGUUGCAGCAGACUGAUGAUAGAUUUUGUAAAUGGCAGAAUGUGAAUGAUAUUUGUGUCCUCUGUGGAUCGAAGCCCGAAUCAAGGAGACAUUUGUUCUUUGAAUGCUCUUUCUCCUCUGAAAAAUGAAGUAGGCUUUUGCAGCUAUGUGGUGUGGGAGGUUUUGUUGGCGAUUGUGAUGCUGAGUUUAUGUGGGUGUUGCAGACAUCAAAGGGGAGGUCUCUGGAAAGUCUUAUUAAAGAUGGCAUGGAAUGGUGUCAUUUAUUACUCAUGGAAGGAAAGAAAUACUAUAGUUCACAUUUGUAGAGUUCCCUGCGCUGAGAAGGUUUUCGAGAGUAUGUUGUUUGUGGUAAGGUUGCUGGUUUGCUGAAGGAGAAAGGAGCUCAUUUGGCAAGAGCUGAUAAUAAUUUGUGUGGUUUUUGGGGCAUAUAAAUACCUGAGAUUGGGCAGGAGAAGGAUUAUUCUCUUGUUUCAUCGUGCUAUAAUGCUUUAGUUGUGUUGGUUUGGUAGCAGGGGAAGUGAAAUUCUUGGGCUUGAUGUUUUUGCUUGACAUCUUGUAUUGAGAUUUAGACCUUAUUGAAGUUGUAGUGGGAAGUGGAUGUCCAGUGGUUUGAUGAUUCAUUGGCGAUGUUGUUACCAUGUCUUAAAUUCCAGAAAUCAUCAGGGAUAUUUUUGUCUGAUGAUUCAUUGGCUA